UAACGCGUAAAGAACUUGCCUCACAGCUAGGGACAACGUUUAGAAAUGAAUGCUAAUACCUGAUAUUAUGAUUUUAAGGCAUCUUAGAAUUAUGAAAGCUAUAAGCACUGUGAGAGAGCUUUGCGUCCCAUUAGCUAGUUGGAGAGGUAACAGCUCACCAAGGCGAUGAUGGGUAGCCGGCCUGAGAGGGUGAACGGCCACAAGGGAACUGAGACACGGCCCUU
rnacentral:rRNA from 1 species